AAUCAACGCUGGCGGCGUGCUUAACACAUGCAAGUCGAGCGGUAAGGCCCUUUCGGGGGUACACGAGCGGCGAACGGGUGAGUAACACGUGGGUGACCUGCCCUCAGCUCUGGGAUAAGCCUGGGAAACUGGGUCUAAUACUGGAUAUGACUCCACGGUGCAUGUCGUGGGGUGGAAAGCCUUGUGCGGCUGAGGAUGGGCCCGCGGCCUAUCAGCUUGUUGGUGGGGNGAUGGCCUACCAAGGCGACGACGGGUAGCCGGCCUGAGAGGGCGACCGGCCACACUGGGACUGAGACACGGCCCAGACUCCUACGGGAGGCAGCAGUGGGGAAUCUUGCGCAAUGGGCGAAAGCCUGACGCAGCGACGCCGCGUGAGGGAUGACGGCCU
rnacentral:rRNA from 1 species